CCUUGUGACCAUUGAGGAGGGGCCACACCCGAUCCCUUUCCGAACUCGGAAGUUAAGACCUCCAUCGCCGAUGAUACUGCCAGGUAGCUGGUGGGAAACUAGGUCGUCGCAAGGA
rnacentral:rRNA from 2 species